rnacentral:rRNA from 1 species
AAUAUCGUACAAUGGGCGAAAGUCUGAUCCAGCCAGGCCGCGUGUGUGAAGAAGGUCUUCGGAUUGUAAAGCACUCUAAGUUGGGAGGAAGGGCAGCAAGUUAAUACCUUGCUGUUUUGACGUUACCCACAGAAUAAGCACCGGCUAACUUUGUUCCAGCAUCCGCGGUAAUACGAAGGGGGCAAGCGUUAAUCGGAAUUACGGGUCGUAAAGCGCGCGUAGGUGGUUCGUUAAGUUGGAAGUGAAAGCCCCGGGCUCAACCUGGGAACUGCUUUCAAAACUGGCAAGCUAGAGUAUGGCAGAGGGUGGUGGAAUUCCCUGUGUAGCGGUGAAAUGCGUAGAUAUAGGAAGGAACACCAGUGGCGAAGGCGACCACCUGGGCUAAUACUGACACUGAGGUGCGAAAGCGUGGGGAGCAAAC